UACGUAGGGGGCGAGCGUUGUCCGGAGUUACUGGGCGUAAAGCGCACGCAGGCGGUCUGCUAAGUUUGGAGUGACAGUUGGUGGCUUAACUGCCAAAGUGCUUCGAAAACUGACAGACUUGAGGGCUUCAGAGGGACACGGAAUUCCGGGUGGAGUGGUGAAAUGCGUAGAGAUGUGGAGGAAUACCGAUGGCGAAGGCAGCCCCCUGGGCCAAUACUGACGCUCAUGCACAAAAGCGUGGGGAGCAAACAGG
rnacentral:rRNA from 1 species